GUACGGGGGGGGCAAGCGUUGUUCGGAAUUACUGGGCGUAAAGGGCUUGUAGGCGGCCAACUAAGUCAAGACGUGAAAUCCCACGGCUCAACCGUGGAAGUGCAUUCGAAACUGCAGGGCUAGAGUCCUGGAGAGGAAGGUGGAAUGCUUGGUGUAGAGGUGAAAUUCGUAGAUAUCAAGCGGAACACCGGUGGCGAAGGCGGCCUUCUGGACGAUGACUGACGCUGAGGAGCGAAAGCGUGGGGAGCGAACAGG
rnacentral:rRNA from 1 species